UGGCCUGCCCGGUGGAUAUCUAAACGGCUGCAGCGAGAGCUGUGCUAAGGUAGCGCGGUAAGUUGUCUUUUAAUUGGAGAAUGGUAUGAAUGGUUUAACGUAGAAUAACUGUCUUUGAGGAAUAGAGUUAAAUUUCCAUUUAAGUGAAAAGGCUUAUAUUUUUGUAAAAGACGAGAAGACCCUAUCGAACUUAAUUAAGAUUGUUUGUCGACGACAAUUAGAAUUUUUGUUGGGGCAACAUAAGUCGAAAGAACGAUUUAAUGACUAAGCAUCGAUCCUUGUUGCGAGAAAAAGGCAAAAGUUACCGUAGGGAUAACAGCGUUAUCCUUCUUGAGAGAUCGAAUUGAGGGAAGGGUUUGCGACCUCGAUGUUGGAUUAUAGAAACUUCUUGGUGCAGCAGCUAUGAUGGUGAGACUGUUCGUCUUUUAAAUCUAUACGUGA
rnacentral:rRNA from 1 species